CACGUAGGGUGCGAGCGUUGUCCGGAAUUAUUGGGCGUAAAGAGCUCGUAGGCGGUGUGUCGCGUCGGCCGUGAAAACCUGCAGCUUAACUGUGGGCGUGCGGUCGAUACGGGCAGACUGGAGUACUGCAGGGGAGACUGGAAUUCCUGGUGUAGCGGUGGAAUGCGCAGAUAUCAGGAGGAACACCGGUGGCGAAGGCGGGUCUCUGGGCAGUAACUGACGCUGAGGAGCGAAAGCGUGGGGAGCGAACAGG
rnacentral:rRNA from 1 species